rnacentral:rRNA from 1 species
AGUGAACGCUGGCGGUAGGCCUAACACAUGCAAGUCGAACGGCAGCACAGUAAGAGCUUGCUCUUACGGGUGGCGAGUGGCGGACGGGUGAGGAAUACAUCGGAAUCUACUUUUUCGUGGGGGAUAACGUAGGGAAACUUACGCUAAUACCGCAUACGACCUACGGGUGAAAGCAGUGGAUCUUCGGACCUUGCGCGAUUGAAUGAGCCGAUGUCGGAUUAGCUAGUUGGCGGGGUAAUGGCCCACCAAGGCGACGAUCCGUAGCUGGUCUGAGAGGAUGAUCAGCCACACUGGAACUGAGACACGGACCAGACUCCUACGGGAGGCAGCAGUGGGGAAUAUGGGACAAUGGGCGGAAGCCUGAUCCAGCAAUACCGCGUGGGUGAAGAAGGCCUUCGGGUUGUAACGCCCUUUUGUUGGGAAAGAAAAGCAGCAGGUUAAUACCACGCUGUUCUGACGGUACCCAAAGAAUAAGCACCGGCUAACUUCGUG